UACGAAGGGUGCAAACGUUGCUCGGAAUUAUUGGGCGUAAAGCGCACGUAGGCGGCUUGGCAAGUCGGAUGUGAAAUCCCUCGGCUCAACCAAGGAAGUGCAUCCGAAACUGCCGAGCUUGAGUACUUAAGAGGAUCGCGGAAUUCCCGGUGUAGAGGUGAAAUUCGUAGAUAUCGGGAGGAACACCAGUGGCGAAGGCGGCGAUCUGGGCAGUAACUGACGCUGAGGAGCGAAAGCGUGGGGAGCGAACAGG
rnacentral:rRNA from 1 species